rnacentral:pre_miRNA from 1 species
AUGAUACUCCCUCCAUCCGAAAAUACUUGUCGUGAAAAUGGAUAUAAAUAGAUGCAUCUAAAACUAAAAUACGUUUAAAUACAUCCAUUCCUCCGACAAGUAUUUCCGAACGGAAGGAGUACAGU